UACGUAGGCAGCGAGCGUUGUUCGGAGUUACUGGGCGUAAAGGGUGUGUAGGCGGUUGUUUAAGUUUGGUGUGAAAUCUCCCGGCUCAACUGGGAGGGUGCGCCGAAUACUGAAUGACUUCGAGUGCGGGAGAGGAAAGUGGAAUUCCUGGUGUAGCGGUGAAAUGCGUAGAUAUCAGGAGGAACACCGGUGGUGUAGACGGCUUUCUGGACCGUAACUGACGCUGAGACACGAAAGCGUGGUAGCAAACAGG
rnacentral:rRNA from 1 species